rnacentral:rRNA from 1 species
AGAGUUGAUCCUGGCUUAGGACGAACGCUGGCGGCGUGCCUAACACAUGCAAGUCGAGCGAGGAGAUUCCUCGGGAUGAUCCUAGCGGCGGACGGGUGAGUAACACGUGGGCAACCUGCCUCAUAGAGAGGAAUAGCCUUCCGAAAGGGAGAUUAAUACCUCAUAACAUUGCAGUUUCGCAUGGAACAGCAAUUAAAGGAGUAAUCCGCUAUGAGAUGGGCCCGCGGCGCAUUAGCUAGUUGGUGAGGUAAUGGCUCACCAAGGCGACGAUGCGUAGCCGACCUGAGAGGGUGAUCGGCCACAGUUGGGACUGAGACACCGGCCCAGACCUCCGUACGGGAGGCAGCAGGUGGGGAAUUAUUGCACAAGUGGGGGAAACCCUGAUGCCAGCAACGCCGCGUGAGUGAUGACGGCCUUCGGGUUGUAAAGCUCUGUCUUCAGGGACGAUAAUGACGGUACCUGAGGAGGAAGCCACGGCUAACUACGUGCCAGCCGCCGC